rnacentral:rRNA from 1 species
AUAAGAUAUCAAGGGCAACAGGUGAAUGCCUUGGCGCUGAGAGGCGAUGAAAGACGCGGUAAGCUGCGAUAAGCAUCGGGGAGGAGCUAAACAUCCUACGAUCCGAUGAUUUCUGAAUGGGGAAACCCGAUGGGAGUCAUGUCCCGUCAUCCUGAGCUGAAUAUAUAGGCCCAGAGAAGCCAACCCGGGGAAGUGAAACAUCUCAGUACCCGGAGGAAGAGAAAUCAAACGAGACUCCCAAAGUAGCGGCGAGCGAAAUGGGAAGAGCCCAAACCGGGUGGUUUCGACCAUUCGGGGUUGUAGGGCCGGCAUACGCGAUUCUGGAGUAGGCAGAGGAAGUGAGCUGGAAAGCUCCGCCACAGCGGGUGAUAGCCCCGUACUCGAAACCGAAAAGGACGCAGCCGGUACCUGAGUACUGCGAGGCACGUGGAACCUCGUGGGAAUCUAGGGGGACCAUCCUCUAAGGCUAAGUACUCCUCAGCGACCGAUAGUGAACUAGUACCGUGAGGGAAAGGUGAAAAGAACCCCUGUUAGGGGAGUGAAAUAGAAUCUGAAACCUGUUGCCUACAAGCUGCGAGAGCUGCUUUUUGCAGUGAUCGCGUGCCUUUUGUAUAAUGAGUCAGCGAGUUACUCUACCGUGCGAGGUUAAGCGAAAGCGUAGCCGUAGUGAAAGCGAGGCUUAAUAGGCCGACUAGUACGUUGGAGUAGACCCGAAACCGGGUGAUCUAUCCAUGAGCAGGUUGAAGCAAGGGUAAAGCCUUGUGGAGGACCGAACCGUCAACGGCUGAAAACGUUCCGGAUGACUUGUGGAUAGGGGUGAAAGGUCAAUCAAACCCGGUGAUAGCUGGUUCUCCCCGAAAUAUAUUGAGGUAUAGCCUCGGGAAUUGAUUAGCGGAGGUAAAGCACUGACAGAGCUAGGGGUCCUACCAGAUUACCAAACUCUAUCAAACUCAGAAUGCCGCUUAAUCGUAUCCCGGGAGUCAGACGGCGGGUGCGAAGGUUCGUCGUCAAAAGGGAAACAGCCCAGACCAACAGCUAAGGUCUCCAAAUCCAUGCUCAGUGGUGAAGGUAGUGGAACCGUUUAGACAGCCAGGACGUUGGCUUAGAAGCAGCCAUCGUUUAAAGAAAGCGUAAUAGCUCACUGGUCUAAUGGCUCUGCGCCGAAAAUGUAACGGGGCUAAGCAUGGUACCGAAGCUUUGGCAAUCCCCUUUGGGGAUUGGGUAGGGGAGCGUUCGCUGCGGGCUGAAGGUGUGCCGGAAGGCAUGCUGGACUGCAGUGAAGUGAUUAUGCUGACAUGAGUAACGAUAAAAUAUGUGAAAAACAUAUUCGCCGAAAACCCGAGGUUUCCUGGGUAAAGGUAAUCUUCCCAGGGUUAGUCGGAUCCUAAGGUGAGGGUGAAAGCCGUAACCGAUGGAAAACAGGUUAAUAUUCCUGUACUUGUUGUGUAGCGCGAUGGAGGGACGCAGGAAGAUAGGCGGGCCGGGUGUUGGAUAUCCCGGUGCAAGCGUGUAGGAAUAUCCGGUAGGCAAAUCCGCCGGACGAAUCUGAGACGCGAGUCCGUGGGCGCAAGCCCUGAAGCCGUUGAGUCUAUGCUGCCUAGAAAAGCUCCUAAGUUUAUCCACAGCAAUCCGUACCGCAAACCAACUCAGGUGGGUGGGAUGAACAAUCCAAGGCGCUCGAGAGAACUCUGGCCAAGGAACUCGGCAAAAUAACCCCGUAACUUCGGAAGAAGGGGUGCUCUCUAGGGUGACAUGUUUAACAUAUGAAGCCCCGGGGAGCCGCAGUGAAUUGGUGGUGGCGACUGUUUACUAAAAACAUAGGUCUGUGCGAAGUCCUAAAGACGACGUAUACGGACUGACGCCUGCCCGGUGCUGGAAGGUUAAAAGGAGGGGUCAGCGCAAGCAAAGCUCCGAAUUGAAGCCCCAGUAAACGGCGGCCGUAACUAUAACGGUCCUAAGGUAGCGAAAUUCCUUGUCGGGUA